GACGAACGCUGGCGGCGUGCUUAACACAUGCAAGUCGAACGGAAAGGCCCUGCUUUUGUGGGGUGCUCGAGUGGCGAACGGGCGAGUAACACGUGAGUAACCUGCCCUUGACUUUGGGAUAACUUCAGGAAACUGGGGCUAAUACCGGAUAGGAGCUCCUGCUGCAUGGUGGGGGUUGGAAAGUUUCGGCGGUUGGGGAUGGACUCGCGGCUUAUCAGCUUGUUGGUGGGGUAGUGGCUUACCAAGGCUUUGACGGGUAGCCGGCCUGAGAGGGUGACCGGCCACAUUGGGACUGAGAUACGGCCCAGACUCCUACGGGAGGCAGCAGUGGGGAAUAUUGCACAAUGGGCGGAAGCCUGAUGCAGCAACGCCGCGUGCGGGAUGACGGCCUUCGGGUUGUAAACCGCUUUCGCCUGUGACGAAGCGUAAGUGACGGUAAUGGGUAAAGAAGCACCGGCUAACUACGUG
rnacentral:rRNA from 1 species